rnacentral:rRNA from 1 species
UACAGAGGUGGCAAGCGUUGUUCGGAAUUACUGGGCGUAAAGGGCGCGUAGGCGGCCUUCUAAGUCAGACGUGAAAUCCCCCGGCUUAACCUGGGAACUGCGUCUGAUACUGGAGGGCUUGAGUAUGGGAGAGGGAUGUAGAAUUCCAGGUGUAGCGGUGAAAUGCGUAGAUAUCUGGAGGAAUACCGGUGGCGAAGGCGGCAUCCUGGACCAUUACUGACGCUGAGGCACGAAAGCUAGGGGAGCAAACAGG